rnacentral:lncRNA from 1 species
CCUGGACACGCCCACCCCUCUGGCAAGGACACAGCUGGCUCUUACAGAGCUGGGCGUCACAGCUGGAGGCUCUCCUCCCCAUCUGCGUCAGGCCCCCAGGCCGGUCUGACCUUGUGGGCCACCACUGUUCCCCAGAGUGCCACAGACUGCAGGAGGGGUCUGCUCCCGGGGAAUCAGAUCCCUGCCUUGGGCUCCCAGCUCCAGUUCUGUCCCAUGGGGCAGGACGUGGGUCCCAGCCUCGCCUGCGGCUGGGGUUCAUGGACCUACUGUGUGAGAGACACUGGGAAAGGUCCUGCUGGUUCCCUGGACGGAGGGCACCUCCCACCUCUGCUCUGGUGGGCAGGACUGGGCAGCAUGAGGAGCUGCCUCCUGUGCCCUCUCCCAUCUCCCGGCUCUGUCUCAGCAAGCCGGGGAGCUAGGGUGGUCUCAGGGACCCCUCAGAGGGCACACCAGCUUUCCUGCAGCUCAGGAAGGUGCAUGGCCCCAGCACCGCUCAGCUGCUCGGCUGGUCACCUGCCGCUGAUGAGGCCGCCUCACUGCCUGCUGCGCGUGACCCCGCCUGGCCUCUCUCCCUUCCUGGAGAGGAGCCGCCUCCUGGCCCCAACCAUUGCUUGGUCUUGCCACUGUCGCUGACGACCAUCUCCCCUGUGUCCACCCUAGGAGAGCAAAAGGUUAUCAACAGAAUGGUGAGGAAAUGCUCAGGGUUGGUGCUCCAGCCUGCUGGGUCAGGAGGGGACACGUGUGGCAUGGAGCUGUGGCCUCAGGGCACACCCGAGGCACGGAGCAGUCAGCAGGAAGAGCCAAGAUCUGACCCCACGUGGGCCAGCGGGGGAUGGAGGGGCCCAGAGCAGGCAGGUCCUGGUGACAGCAUGCGCAAGACCCUGGAGCCAAGAGCCCCACAGAGUCACAGAGGAUGGACUUUGUGUGCGAGGAGGGGAGGGGCCCGCUGGAGCUCGGUGUCCUUGUGGUCCAGUCACAUCAGGUGAGAUUCACAAGUGGAAGCCCCAGCCUCCGAGGCCUCAGAACGGGACUCUGCACACAGGUGCUGUAGAGUGAUUAAGGUUACACAAGGUCACUAGGGUGGCCCUGAAUACCACAGGACGGGUGUCCCUAUGUGCAGAGGACAUGACGACAGACAGACAAGGAGGCAUCCACAGGCCAAGGAGAGGCCUGGAAAGAGCCAGCCCUGCCUACCUGGGGACACCAGGACCGUGAAGUCCAGUCUGCAAGUCCCCAGGCUGGGGGGUCUGUUGCUGCAGCAGGAGCUGUGGACAGGAGGCCAAGAGGCAGGAGAGGCGCCCUGGUCCCCUAGGGGGCCAGUUGUGGCCAGGAAUGACACUAAGGAGAGAGACAGUGCCUGGAGGGGCCUGCAGUCUGCUCUGUGAGAGU